GAUAGUUCUCUCUCUCAGCACUAGUAAAUCUUUAGCAUUUGCAUUUUGCCAUUCAGCACUAGCAAUUCUUGUUAGUCUGAAACGACCUACGCUUGAAUGCAGGAUUAUUGAUGUCAUAUUAGAAGUCGCUUAGCCAUUUGCAUUUGGCAUACCAUGGUCGGCUUCUGGAUUUGCACAUUAUGGAUAGGAACACCUAAAAAUUACCGCUAUCUCUCUCUCUCUUUUCAAGCAAGAUUAGUAUUUUUUUCACUAACAAAUUAAUAAUUAAAAUUAGGGUUAAUCACGCUUUGUUUCCCUAACUUUCACCCUUCUUAAAUCCAAUCCAAUUGAGCAAAAUUUCAUACUUCAAUUUCAAUUUCGGUUUAGUCAAACUUUAAAACGUGUUUUCAUAUAUAUCAAAAUUUGUUACCCAAACUAGCCACAUAAAAAUCACAAUAAAAUUUGAUCAAAAAAAAAAAAUCACAAUAAAAUAAAAAUUAAAUUAAGAUCAAUUAAAAAUAUUCCCUUUGUCCCAUUUCGAAUGUCUCAAAACAUCGGACGGAGGGAGUAUAUAUUAGUAUAUUAAAUAAAUUCUUAUAAAUAAAAAAUUCAUUUGUUCGAUUUGUUUUUCAAUUUUGCUUGCCCAUAGACAAGUGUGUUGUUGUUCUACACUUACAUCGUCAAAACACACUGUACCAAAAAAUGGCAAUUCGAUUCUUGCUAUCCCUAAUUAUUACAAUGAAAACUGCAAAAGUAAAAAAAUUGGAACUGAAUCUAUAUAAAUCAUGCAAUGUGUAUAAAAAUUCAUGAGGUCAACAAGUUUAAAAUGUACAGAUCAACGAUUCAAAAAAAAAAUGUACAAAUCAACAACAACUGAAAAAUAAAAUAUAUGUGAACUUUAUUUAAUAAAUAAAGAAAUUUAAAGAUCACAAACCUUGAAUAUUAAUUAUCUAUGGCUAAGCUAACAUGUGUGAACUUAAUUACAAGCAAAGAAGUUUAAAAUAAUAUUUCUCCAACUAAUAAUUUAUUCUAACUUGUAUAAGCAUAAGAUCAAGUACUCAAAAUGUGGACGAGGAGAUUAGAGCUUUUAUUACAUUUAUCAGGCAACAAAAAUGCACCUCGAGAAAAACAGUUAACAUGUACUCCACUAUAUAAGAAUUUCCACGUAUAUUGCUCUAAAAAAAGAAAAUUCUACGUAUGUUAAUAAAAGUAUUAAAAAUGUGUUAUGGACAAGGAAUGUAUUCAAACUAGUAUUUUGCCCGUGCGAUGCACGGGUGUUAUAUUUUUUUAGAUAUUAUAAUUUUUAUUUUUUUCUUUAAAAAAAUUAUUAUAUUUUUUAUUUUAUAUUAGUAUUAAUUAAAUUAUAUAUUAUAUAAAAAUAAUGUAAUUGUGAUGAGUUAAUAUUUUUUUUUAAGUGGUUAUAAAUUUAGGAAUAUAUCUUCGUAAGUGACAUGAAAUCACCAAUCAUAUACUAUAUCAAUAAUUUGAAGUGAAAUUGUCUAAAAAAUGUUUAAAGUGAAAUUAACUAAACGAUGAGUUGCGAUCAUAUUUAUUAAGCUUCACUAUUAUGUACACAUCAUUUAUUUUAUACACUUAUUUUAAAAUUUAAUAAUAAUUAUGCAAGCAAUAAUUUAUUAUUGAAAUCCAUAAAAUUAAACAUAUUUUGUUGUUGAUUUUAUCAUAGCCAUUAAAAAUAAUGUAUUUACAAUUUUUUCAAUGAACACAUGAUCUGCUUAUAUAUAUAAAUGUAGCUUUCAGAUUAGACGGUUGCACUCGCGUUCAAACUCUGACCCGCGCUCAAAUACAAACCCGCUUCCUGAUUCGAACUUUGUAAAUAACACUAUUCAAUUAUACAAAUGACAGUGUCUAUAAUUGACUCUAUUCGGUUAUACAAAUGACACCGCGUAUAAUUGACAUUAUAAUAUUGUAAAUGACAUUGUGUAUAAUUGACACUAUUCAUAAAUAUAAACGACACUUCAUGUCAUUGACAUCAUAAAAUUGUAAAUGACACUAUAAUGUUUCAAAAUGUUAUAGUGUAAUUUGUAUAACUGAAUAAUGUUAAUUAUAGACAGUGACAUUUGUAUAACUGAAUAGUGUCAUUUACAUUAUUUGAAUCAAGAUGCGGGUUAAAGUAUGAGUGCGGGUAUAACCCGAUUCUACAGUGCACCCAAUAGCACAUAAGUUUUUGUGUUCUGAUUAAUUGUUUACCUAUUUUUAUAAACGACAAAUUAGUGUUGCUGAUUAUUUUGUUUCAAAAUCUAAACAAUUUAACAAUUAUCAUCUAAUUUCAUGAAGAAAAUGCAUAUUACCUAAAAAAAAUACUCCAUCUUAACUAUUUUUUUUCCAUAUCAUCGUUUUCAAUUUUAGGGUGAAAUUGAUUUUUUUUUUAAUCUUUUAACCUAUAUAAAUAAUUAAAAAAAUUAAUUUUAUUUAUGUCUCACUGAACAUAUUUUCUACUAACACUUCCUAUCCAUACAAUCAUUUUACACAAAAACAAUUUUUUUUAUAUAUUUUGACGAUAAUUAUUAAGUUUAGAAUAAAUUAAUGUGGUUUAAGAACCUAAUGUUAUUAGUGUAUUAUAUGAGAGAUUAUUUUUUACCAAAAAAAUAUCAUUAUACUUUUGUAGUAUUAAUUCUUAUGAAAUCCAAUAUUUUAAGAUAAAUAUAUAUGCUAAUUCAAUUGAGCAUUUAUAUUGACAAUGAGAACAAAUUAUAGUCGUAAUUUAAUAGAUCAGAAAUAGAACUUGCUAGUAUAAAUAAAAAUCAGCAUUAAUUAUGUAAAUAAAUGUUGAAAUUAAUAUUGAAUUGUGUAAAUUAAUUAAUUAAUUAAGGUUAAAAUUAAUGCUACACUUUGGGCGGGAAAAUAGUAUAGGCAUAUUGGUUCCACUUUUAUAUAGAUAUAUAGAUUGUAUACACAUUUAAGUCCAUGUUUGGUAUAUACAUACAUACAUAUUUACAUACAUGCAUAUCACUUCAUAGGAUUGAGUUAUAACAUGAACCUUAUUUAGUAUAAAAAUUAUGAAUUUUGUACUUUAAGUUAUAAAGUAAUUACACUUAACUUAUAAAAUAAUUGCAAUUUUGUGAUCUUGUAAAUCAUUGCAAUUGUGCCUUUUAUGAGUUUCCAACCUAGAACCAUCAAAGUGUAAAUAUAUGUUGAAUAGAUACAGUUCAUAAUUUUACGUUACAGUGAAGUUUUUAUUUGAACCACUCCUCCGCUUUAUAUAAAGAAAAGUAAAUACUCUUAAUAGUUGAAAUUACUAUUAUAUGGAAGUGUCUUCAUGGAGGAGAGAGGAUUGCUUUNUUUGCCAUUCAGCACUAGCAAUUCUUGUUAGUCUGAAACGACCUACGCUUGAAUGCAGGAUUAUUGAUGUCAUAUUAGAAGUCGCUUAGCCAUUUGCAUUUGGCAUACCAUGGUCGGCUUCUGGAUUUGCACAUUAUGGAUAGGAACACCUAAAAAUUACCGCUAUCUCUCUCUCUCUUUUCAAGCAAGAUUAGUAUUUUUUUCACUAACAAAUUAAUAAUUAAAAUUAGGGUUAAUCACGCUUUGUUUCCCUAACUUUCAC
rnacentral:lncRNA from 1 species